rnacentral:rRNA from 1 species
GGCAUCAUAACUUAUUGCCUAAUACAUGCAAGUCGAGCGGACAGAUGGGAGCUUGCUCCCUGAUGUUACGGAGCGGCGGACGGGUGAGUAACACGUGGGUAACCUGCCUGUAAGACUGGGAUAACUCCGGGAAACCGGGGCUAAUACCGGAUGCUUGUUUGAACCGCAUGGUUCAAACAUAAAAGGUGGCUUCGGCUACCACUUACAGAUGGACCCGCGGCGCAUUAGCUAGUUGGUGAGGUAACGGCUCACCAAGGCAACGAUGCGUAGCCGACCUGAGAGGGUGAUCGGCCACACUGGGACUGAGACACGGCCCAGACUCCUACGGGAGGCAGCAGUAGGGAAUCUUCCGCAAUGGACGAAAGUCUGACGGAGCAACACCGCGUGAGUGAUGAAGGUUUUCGGAUCGUAAAGCUCUGUUGUUAGGGAAGAACAAGUACCGUUCGAAUAGGGCGGUACCUUGACGGUACCUAACCAGAAAGCCACGGCUAACUACGUGCCAGCAGCCGCGGUAAUACGUAGGUGGCAAGCGUUGUCCGGAAUUAUUGGGCGCAAAGGGCUCGCAGGCGGUUCCUUAAGUCUGAUGUGAAAGCCCCCGGCUCAACCGGGGAGGGUCAUUGGAAACUGGGGAACUUGAGUGCAGAAGAGGAGAGUGGAAUUCCACGUGUAGCGGUGAAAUGCGUAGAGAUGUGGAGGAACACCAGUGGCGAAGGCGACUCUCUGGUCUGUAACUGACGCUGAGGAGCGAAAGCGUGGGGAGCGAACAGGAUUAGAUACCCUGGUAGUCCACGCCGUAAACGAUGAGUGCUAAGUGUUAGGGGGUUUCCGCCCCUUAGUGCUGCAGCUAACGCAUUAAGCACUCCGCCUGGGGAGUACGGUCGCAAGACUGAAACUCAAAGGAAUUGACGGGGGCCCGCACAAGCGGUGGAGCAUGUGGUUUAAUUCGAAGCAACGCGAAGAACCUUGCCAGGUCUUGACAUCCUCUGACAAUCCUAGAGAUAGGACGUCCCCUUCGGGGGCAGAGUGACAGGUGGUGCAUGGUUGUCGUCAGCUCGUGUCGUGAGAUGUUGGGUUAAGUCCCGCAACGAGCGCAACCCUUGAUCUUAGUUGCCAGCAUUCAGUUGGGCACUCUAAGGUGACUGCCGGUGACAAACCGGAGGAAGGUGGGGAUGACGUCAAAUCAUCAUGCCCCUUAUGACCUGGGCUACACACGUGCUACAAUGGACAGAACAAAGGGCAGCGAAACCGCGAGGUUAAGCCAAUCCCACAAAUCUGUUCUCAGUUCGGAUCGCAGUCUGCAACUCGACUGCGUGAUUACGCUAAUCGCUAGUAUCGCGGAUCAGCAUGCCGCGGUGAAUACACUCCCGGGCCUUGUACAGUGCGCCGCUCACACCACGAGAGUUUGUAACAUUUGAAGUCGGUGAGGUAACCUUUAUGGAGCCAGAUUUACGAAGUGGGACAGAUGAUACGGCUUAGGGCGGCUCCUGAGUCCAUCGGACUUAGCA